UACGUAGGGGGCAAGCGUUGUCCGGAAUCAUUGGGCGUAAAGAGCGUGUAGGCGGUUCGGUAAGUCGGCUGUGAAAGUCCAGGGCUCAACCUGGGAAUUGCAGUCGAUACUGCGUGGCUCGAGUUCGGUAGAGGGCAGCAGAAUUCCCGGUGUAGCGGUGAAAUGCGUAGAUAUCGGGAGGAAUACCGAUGGCGAAGGCAACUGCCUGGGCCUGAACUGACACUGUGACACGAAAGCGUGGGUAGCAAACAGG
rnacentral:rRNA from 1 species